AGUAAAGUCAGCUAAAUAAGCUUUCGGGCCCAUACCCCGAACAUGACAGUUAAACCCUAUCCUUUACUA
rnacentral:tRNA from 1 species